UGGGGAAUUUUGGACAAUGGGCGAAAGCCUGAUCCAGCAAUGCCGCGUGUGUGAAGAAGGCCUUCGGGUUGUAAAGCACUUUUGUCCGGAAAGAAAUCCUCUGGGUUAAUAACUCGGGGGGAUGACGGUACCGGAAGAAUAAGCACCGGCUAACUACGUGCCAGCAGCCGCGGUAAUACGUAGGGUGCAAGCGUUAAUCGGAAUUACUGGGCGUAAAGCGCGCGCAGGCGGUUUUGUAAGACGGAUGUGAAAUCCCCGGGCUUAACCUGGGAGCUGCAUUCGUGACUGCAAGGCUAGAGUAUGGCAGAGGGGGGUAGAAUUCCACGUGUAGCAGUGAAAUGCGUAGAGAUGUGGAGGAAUACCAAUGGCGAAGGCAGCCCCCUGGGCCAAUACUGACGCUCAUGCACGAAAGCGUGGGGAGCAAACA
rnacentral:rRNA from 1 species